UGGGGAAUUUUGGACAAUGGGGGAAACCCUGAUCCAGCCAUCCCGCGUGUGCGAUGAAGGCCUUCGGGUUGUAAAGCACUUUUGGCAGGAAAGAAACGUCAUGGGUUAAUACCCCGUGAAACUGACGGUACCUGCAGAAUAAGCACCGGCUAACUACGUGCCAGCAGCCGCGGUAAUACGUAGGGUGCAAGCGUUAAUCGGAAUUACUGGGCGUAAAGCGUGCGCAGGCGGAUCGGAAAGAAAGAUGUGAAAUCCCAGAGCUCAAAGUUGGAACUGAAUUUGUAACUACCUGGCUAGAGUGUGUCAGAGGGAGGUGGAAUUCCGCGUGUAGCAGUGAAAUGCGUAGAUAUGCGGAGGAACACCGAUGGCGAGGGCAGCAUCCUGGGAUAACACUGACGCUCAUGCACGAAAGCGUGGGGAGCAAACAGG
rnacentral:rRNA from 1 species